AACGAGCGCUGGCGGCAGGCUUAACACAUGCAAGUCGAACGCAUCGCAAGAUGAGUGGCAGACGGGUGAGUAACGCGUGGGAACAUACCCUUUUCUACGGAAUAGCUCUGGGAAACUGGGAGUAAUACCGGAUGAGCUCUACGGAGGAAAGAUUUAUCGCCAAAGGAUCGGCCCGCGUUGGAUUAGGUAGUUGGUGGGGUAAUGGCCUACCAAGCCGACGAUCCAUAGCUGGUUUGAGAGGAUGAUCAGCCACACUGGGACUGAGACACGGCCCAGACUCCUACGGGAGGCAGCAGUGGGGAAUCUUAGACAAUGGGGGAAACCCUGAUCUAGCCAUGCCGCGUGAUCGAUGAAGGCCUUAGGGUUGUAAAGAUCUUUCAGUGGGGAAGAUAAUGACUGUACCCACAGAAGAAGCCCCGGCUAACUCCGUGCCAGCAGCCGCAGUAAAAC
rnacentral:rRNA from 1 species